AACGAACGUUGGCGGUAUGCUUAACACAUGCAAGUCGUACGUGAAAGCUUCCUUCGGGAAGCAAGUAAAGUGGCGCACGGGUGAGUAACACGUGGAUAAUCUGCCCAGUAAUCAGGGAUAACAUCUCGAAAGAGAUGCUAAUACCUGAUAAGCCCACGAUCUCUUCGGAGAACGAGGGAAAAGGUGGGGACCUUCGGGCCUGCCGUUACUGGAUGAGUCCGCGGCCCAUUAGCUAGUUGGUAGGGUAAUGGCCUACCAAGGCUACGAUGGGUAGCUGGUCUGAGAGGAUGAUCAGCCACACUGGAACUGAGACACGGUCCAG
rnacentral:rRNA from 1 species